CCUACGGGAGGCAGCAGUAAGGAAUAUUGGUCAAUGGGCGCAAGCCUGAACCAGCCAUGCCGCGUGCAGGAUGACGGCCCUCUGGGUUGUAAACUGCUUUUAUACGGGAAGAACAGCAUCUACGUGUAGGUGUUUGACGGUACUGUAAGAAUAAGGACCGGCUAACUUCGUGCCAGCAGCCGCGGUAAUACGAAGGGUCCAAGCGUUAUCCGGAUUUAUUGGGUUUAAAGGGUGCGUAGGCGGCUUUUUAAGUCAGUGGUGAAAGCCUGAUGCUCAACAUCAGAACUGCCAUUGAUACUGAAGAGCUUGAGUACAGUUGAGGUUGGCGGAAUGUGUCAUGUAGCGGUGAAAUGCUUAGAUAUGACACAGAACACCGAUUGCGAAGGCAGCUAGCUAAGCUGUUACUGACGCUGAUGCACGAAAGCGUGGGGAGCAAACAGGAUUAGAUACCCUGGUAGUCCACGCCCUAAACGUUGAUAACUCGUUGUUAGCGAUAUACUGUUAGCGACCAAGCGAAAGCAUUAAGUUAUCCACCUGGAAGUACGGUGCAGAUUGAAACUCAAAUGAAUUGACCGGGNNGAGAGNGCGAGGACGACACGAGGGAGGAGG
rnacentral:rRNA from 1 species